rnacentral:lncRNA from 1 species
AGACCGUAUUAUUUUUAAAAUUUUUGAAAAACGAGUAUUAUUUUUAAAAAAAUUAAAAAAAUCAUAUUAUUUAAAAAAAAUUAGCCUCGCACGAGGUCGAGUCACCUUUGUCUCGUCCGAUUGUAUGUCACAAGCUAUGGUUGUCGACCUAAUGGAAAUCCCAAAUUAGUACUCCUUUACUGUGCAACUUAGCAACUCCAAGAUAACAAAAGCCCCCCACAUAGCAGCAAAACAUAAAUGAAAUAGAUAAGUAUUGCCAACAAUGUAUAAGAAUCGUCUGUGUCG